UACGAAGGGGGCUAGCGUUGUUCGGAUUUACUGGGCGUAAAGCGCACGUAGGCGGAUUGGUCAGUUAGGGGUGAAAUCCCAGAGCUCAACUCUGGAACUGCCUUUAAUACUGCCAAUCUAGAGUCCGGAAGAGGUGAGUGGAACUCCUAGUGUAGAGGUGGAAUUCGUAGAUAUUAGGAAGAACACCAGUGGCGAAGGCGGCUCACUGGUCCGGUACUGACGCUGAGGUGCGAAAGCGUGGGGAGCAAACAGG
rnacentral:rRNA from 1 species